rnacentral:rRNA from 1 species
UACGUAGGGGGCAAGCGUUGUCCGGAAUCAUUGGGCGUAAAGCGCGUGUAGGCGGUUCGGUAAGUCAGCUGUGAAAGUCCAGGGCUCAACCCUGGAAAGCCGGUUGAUACUGUCGGGCUAGAGUGCGGAAGAGGCGAGUGGAAUUCCUGGUGUAGCGGUGAAAUGCGCAGAUAUCGGGAGGAACACCAGUGGCGAAGGCGACUACCUGGCCUGUUCUUGACGCUGAGGCGCGAAAGCUAGGGGAGCAAACGGG